AAGUCGUAACAAGGUUUCCGUAGGUGAACCUGCGGAAGGAUCAUUAAUGAUUUUUAAAGCGAGUCGAGCGUUAAGCGAGGCUUGCGAAAUAUUUAAAACCCCACUCUUUUUAACCUUAAAAAAUAGAUCAUGAUACAUGAAUUUAGAAAAAAAGAUCACUUUCAACAACGGAUCUCUUGGUUCUC
rnacentral:misc_RNA from 1 species